UACGUAGGGGGCAAGCGUUGUCCGGAAUUAUUGGGCGUAAAGAGCGUGUAGGCGGCCAGGUAGGUCAGCUGUGAAAACUCGAGGCUUAACCUCGAGACGCCGGCUGAAACCCUCUGGCUAGAGUCCGGAAGAGGAGAGCGGAAUUCCUGGUGUAGCGGUGAAAUGCGCAGAUAUCAGGAAGAACACCCGUGGCGAAGGCGGCUCUCUGGGACGGUACUGACGCUGAGACGCGAAAGCGUGGGGAGCGAACAGG
rnacentral:rRNA from 1 species